CGCGGUCGAAAUUUUUAGCUGUGUAAAAGCUGAAAGGGUGCUAUUUUGCUAGUUGGGAUUGCGAUCUUGACAUCGCCAUGGCAAACAAUAUAUUGAAUCCAUUGAGAUGACUAUGAUUUGAGAAGUAAGUUGGUUUACUCAUAUCUGUCCCGUUUGUUUUCCAGUUUUUUUUUUUUUUUUUUCGUUAGUUUGUUUGUCCGUGAUAUAUUCUCUUUAGGUAACACUUCACCGGAGCUGUCCCUUCCAGAGGCCAUAGUCAGGAGCAGCGGCCAUCGACAUUGAAUUGGGCGUCUUGUAGAUUGGAAGGAACUGAUCUGGGUUUAAUAUAACUUCCAAUCAACUGUGUCAAGCUCCCAGUGCCCCUCGAUUACUCAAACUCCAAUGGCUCCGAAGAAAUUAUGCUCCAAUUGACUGCCCA
rnacentral:sRNA from 2 species